rnacentral:rRNA from 1 species
AGUGAACGCUGGCGGUAGGCCUAACACAUGCGAGUCGAACGGCAGCACAGUAAGAGCUUGCUCUUACGGGUGGCGAGUGGCGGACGGGUGAGGGAUACAUCGGAAUCUACUUUUUCGUGGGGGAUAACGUAGGGAAACUUACGCUAAUACCGCAUACGACCUACGGGUGAAAGCAGGGGAUCUUCGGACCUUGCGCGAUUGAAUGAGCCGAUGUCGGAUUAGCUAGUUGGCGGGGUAAAGGCCCACCAAGGCGACGAUCCGUAGCUGGUCUGAGAGGAUGAUCAGCCACACUGGAACUGAGACACGGUCCAGACUCCUACGGGAGGCAGCAGUGGGGAAUAUUGGACAAUGGGCGCAAGCCUGAUCCAGCCAUACCGCGUGGGUGAAGAAGGCCUUCGGGUUGUAAAGCCCUUUUGUUGGGAAAGAAAAGCAGCAGGUUAAUACCCCGCUGUUCUGACGGUACCCAAAGAAUAAGCACCGGCUAACUUCGUG